AAUAGAUACCCGGGUAGUCCACGCCGUAAACGAUGAGUGCCAAGUGUUAGGGGGUUUCCGCCCCUUAGUGCUGCAGCUAACGCAUUAAGCACUCCGCCUGGGGAGUACGGUCGCAAGACUGAAACUCAAAGGAAUUGACGGGGGCCCGCACAAGCGGUGGAGCAUGUGGUUUAAUUCGAAGCAACGCGAAGAACCUUACCAGGUCUUGACAUCCCGUUGACCACUGUAGAGAUAUAGUUUCCCCUUCGGGGGCAACGGUGACAGGUGGUGCAUGGUUGUCGUCAGCUCGUGUCGUGAGAUGUUGGGUUAAGUCCCGCAACGAGCGCAACCCUUGAUCUUAGUUGCCAUCAUUUAGUUGGGCACUCUAAGGUGACUGCCGGUGACAAACCGGAGGAAGGUGGGGAUGACGUCAAAUCAUCAUGCCCCUUAUGACCUGGGCUACACACGUGCUACAAUGGACGAUACAAACGGUUGCCAACUCGCGAGAGGGAGCUAAUCCGAUAAAGUCGUUCUCAGUUCGGAUUGUAGG
rnacentral:rRNA from 1 species